AUACGUAGGGUGCAAGCGUUAAUCGGAAUUACUGGGCGUAAAGCGUGCGCAGGCGGUUUUGUAAGACAGAGGUGAAAUCCCCGGGCUCAACCUGGGAACUGCCUUUGUGACUGCAAGGCUAGAGUACGGCAGAGGGGGAUGGAAUUCCGCGUGUAGCAGUGAAAUGCGGAGGUAUGCGGAGGAACACCGAUGGCGAAGGCAAUCCCCUGGGCCUGUACUGACGCUCAUGCACGAAAGCGUGGGGAGCAAACAGGAUUAGAUUCCCUGGUAGUCCACGCCCUAAACGAUGUCAACUGGUUGUUGGGUCUUCAUUGACUCAGUAACGAAGCUAACGCGUGAAGUUGACCGCCUGGGGAGUACGGCCGCAAGGUUGAAACUCAAAUGAAUUGGCGGGG
rnacentral:rRNA from 1 species